rnacentral:lncRNA from 10 species
UCAAGCCAUACUCCCGCCUCAGCCUCCAGAGUAGCUGAGACUACAUGUCUGUGCCACCAUACCCAGCAGGGAGGAGUGUUUUAAAGUCUUAGAUGAUUGUGGAUAUUCCUCUUUAACAGUACACCAAUACUUAACCAAUGGUAGUUUCUUAGAGGACAGCUGCAAAGUGGAAUCUGAAAUCUUAUCAAUGAGUUUUUCAUACUGUUUCAUUAAAACCCACUGUACUAUGUGGUAGGCAGUGUCUAAGACAGCCCCCAAUUUUCCCUGUCUCCCAGUAUUGAUAACCUGUGGGUGAAUACCUUGAGUACAGGCAGGAUUGAACAGAAUGUGGCAGACAUGAUGGGAUUUCACUUCCAGAUUACGUUACAAAAAGACAGUGGCUUCCGUUUUGGGCUGCCCUCUCUGGCUCUCUCAUUUGCUCUGUGUUAAGAAUGGAUGCCCCCAGGCAAUAGCCACAUGAAUGAGUUUAGGAGAUCCUCCUCCAUUCAGGCUUUGAGAUGAAUGGUAGCCUAGCUGACAUGUUGACCACACCUUUGUAGGAGACCCUAACCAAAGGCCACACCCAGAUUGCUGACCCAAAGAAACUGAGAUAACAAACGUUUGUUUUUUUCAGGCAGUUUAAUUUUGGAACAAUUUUUCACUCAGCAAUAAAUAUCUAAUACAAUUCAUCUCGCAGUCUGAAUGGAUCUUUUACCUAUGCACAAUUUUGUAGUAUCAUGCAUUGGUUAUUCAAAAAUACUUGUUUACUGAGUAAUGCAAACAUUUCAAAUAUUAAUGGUUUCAUUACACAGUAUUUUAAAAAUCAUCUGUUUCAUGUCACCACUGAUCUUAUCAGAAAGCCUUCAAGUACUGGGAAAGUAUCAAGCUCACAAAGGUGGGUACAAAAAAUUUUCUAAAAUCCUGUUUUUUGCCUGAAAGCUCUUUUGUAAUUUAUCAUUGUUUUUGAGAUGAGGUCUGUCAUCAGUAGGCUGAAGUGCAGUGGUGCAAUCAUGGCUCAUGCCUUGACCUCCCAGGCUCAAUCCAUCUUCUCACCCCUCGGCCUCCUGAGUAGCUGGGACUACAGGCAUGUGCCACCACACCCAGCUCAUUUUUUUCUUAAUUUUUUGUAGAGAUGGGGGUCUCCCUAUGUAGCCCAGGCUGGUGUGGAACUCCCAGGCUCAAACAAUCCUCCCGCCUCAGCCUCCGAAAGUAAUCCCAAAGUGUUCGGAUUACAGGUGUGAGUCACCACGUCCGGCCAAACCUCUUUUUUAAAAUCACUGAUAACAAACACUCUCAGUUGUAUUGAAGUAACAAGCUCACAUUUUCAAGAAAAUGCCAACUGUCAAAGUGUAAACUGAUAGUCUGUCAGCGAUUUUUCAAGUAAAAAGAAUGUUCCAUGAAAAAAGCUGCCUACUUCAGCUCGCUACUCUAACAAUCACACAAGUGCUUUUCCUUAAGGUAAUCAUAGUACUUCAUUAUGCCAAAGUGCUUUGUGCAUACAUCCUAUUUCAAACAAUAUUUUAAAACUGUGUACUCAAGGAUCAGGAUUUAAUGAAAUUAAUCAUUUUUAUUGCUUCAUCAAGAACAUUAUUAAAGAAAACUGCUUUUAAAUUAAUUUAUUAUUUUUUUUUGAGUUGGGGUCUCAAUACGUUGCCCAGGCUGGUCUCAAACUCCUGGGCUCAAGCAAUCCUCCCGCCUCAGCCUCCCAAAGUGUUGAGAUUACAGGUGUAAGCCACUGCAACUGUCCUAUUUAUGUUUCUUUUAUAGACAGGGCCUCACUCUGUUAUACAGGCUGCAGUGCAGUGGCAUGAUCAUAGUUCACUGCAGCCUAGAACUCCCAAGCUCAAGCGAUCCUCCCACCUCAGACUCCCAAGUAACUAGGACUACAGGCACGUGCCACCAUGCCUAACGAAUUUAUUUUUAUUUUUUGUAGAGAUAAGAGUCUUCCUAUGUUGUCUGGGCUACUCUCCAACUCCUGGUUGCAAGUGAUCUGUUCAACUGUGGCCUCCCAAAGGACUGGGAUUACAAGCAUGAGCCACUGCACCUGGCCCUGCCUUUUAGAUUUUUUUUGUAAACUUCAAAUAUGCAGCAGUGAAGAAUUCACUAUCUAGUGAUACAGCCUGAAGCCACCACAUGAAUUCAACCAAGAUGCCAGCAGUCUGACUCAUCAUUGUUUCUGAACUAUCAGUCUAAAUGUCACCACAAUGAAAAUAAUUUGAUGUCCAGUAUAAUGGUGCAUGCCUAUAAUCCCAGCUACUUAGGAGGCUGAGAUAAGAAGAUCACCUGAGCCUAAGAGUUCUGGCCUGUAGUGUGCUAUGCCAGUCAGGUGUCUACACUAAGCUCGACAUCAAUAUAAUUACCUCCCGGAAGUAGGGGGACCACCAGGUUACCUAAGGAGGGGUGAACUGGCCCAGGUUGGAAACAGAGGUCAAAACUCCUGUGCUGAUCACUAGUGGGAUCACGCCUGUGAGCAACCACUGCACUCCAGCCUGGGGCAACACAGCAAGACCCC